UGGGGAAUAUUGCACAAUGGGCGCAAGCCUGAUGCAGCCAUGCCGCGUGUGUGAAGAAGGCCUUCGGGUUGUAAAGCACUUUCAGCGAGGAGGAAGGGUAGUGUGUUAAUAGCACAUUGCAUUGACGUUACUCGCAGAAGAAGCACCGGCUAACUCCGUGCCAGCAGCCGCGGUAGUACGGAGGGGGCAAGCGGUAAUCGGAAUUACUGGGCGUAAAGCGCGCGCAGGCGGUUUGUUAAGUCAGAUGUGAAAUCCCCGCGCUUAACGUGGGAACUGCAUUUGAAACUGGCAAGCUAGAGUCUUGUAGAGGGGGGUAGAAUUCCAGGUGUAGCGGUGAAAUGCGUAGAGAUCUGGAGGAAUACCGGUGGCGAAGGCGGCCCCCUGGACAAAGACUGACGCUCAGGUGCGAAAGCGUGGGGAGCAAACA
rnacentral:rRNA from 1 species